rnacentral:rRNA from 1 species
AUUGAACGCUGGCGGCAGGCCUAACACAUGCAAGUCGAGCGGAUGAAGGGAGCUUGCUCCUGGAUUCAGCGGCGGACGGGUGAGUAAUGCCUAGGAAUCUGCCUGGUAGUGGGGGAUAACGUCCGGAAACGGGCGCUAAUACCGCAUACGUCCUGAGGGAGAAAGUGGGGGAUCUUCGGACCUCACGCUAUCAGAUGAGCCUAGGUCGGAUUAGCUAGUUGGUGGGGUAAAGGCCUACCAAGGCGACGAUCCGUAACUGGUCUGAGAGGAUGAUCAGUCACACUGGAACUGAGACACGGUCCAGACUGCUACGGGAGGCAGCAGUGGAGAAUAUUGGACAAUGGGCGAAAGCCUGAUCCAGCCAUGCCGCGUGUGUGAAGAAGGUCUUCGGAUUGUAAAGCACUUUAAGUUGGGAGGAAGGGCAGUAAGUUAAUACCUUGCUGUUUUGACGUUACCAACAGAAUAAGCACCGGCUAACUUCG